rnacentral:rRNA from 1 species
AGAGUUUGAUCCUGGCUCAGGACGAACGCUGGCGGCGCGCCUAACACAUGCAAGUCGAACGAGAGAUGAGGAGCUUGCUCUUCAAAUCGAGUGGCGAACGGGUGAGUAACGCGUGAGGAACCUGCCUCAAAGAGGGGGACAACAGUUGGAAACGACUGCUAAUACCGCAUAAGCCCACAGCUCGGCAUCGAGCAGAGGGAAAAGGAGUGAUCCGCUUUGAGAUGGCCUCGCGUCCGAUUAGCUGGUUGGUGAGGUAACGGCCCACCAAGGCGACGAUCGGUAGCCGGACUGAGAGGUUGAACGGCCACAUUGGGACUGAGACACGGCCCAGACUCCUACGGGAGGCAGCAGUGGGGAAUAUUGCACAAUGGGGGAAACCCUGAUGCAGCGACGCCGCGUGGAGGAAGAAGGUCUUCGGAUUGUAAACUCCUGUUGUUGAGGAAGAUAAUGACGGUACUCAACAAGGAAGUGACGGCUAACUACGUGCCAGCAGCCGCGGUAAAACGUAGGUCACAAGCGUUGUCCGGAAUUACUGGGUGUAAAGGGAGCGCAGGCGGGAGAACAAGUUGGAAGUGAAAUCCAUGGGCUCAACCCAUGAACUGCUUUCAAAACUGUUUUUCUUGAGUAGUGCAGAGGUAGGCGGAAUUCCCGGUGUAGCGGUGGAAUGCGUAGAUAUCGGGAGGAACACCAGUGGCGAAGGCGGCCUACUGGGCACCAACUGACGCUGAGGCUCGAAAGUGUGGGUAGCAAACAGGAUUAGAUACCCUGGUAGUCCACACCGUAAACGAUGAUUACUAGGUGUUGGAGGAUUGACCCCUUCAGUGCCGCAGUUAACACAAUAAGUAAUCCACCUGGGGAGUACGACCGCAAGGUUGAAACUCAAAGGAAUUGACGGGGGGCCCGCACAAGCAGUGGAGUAUGUGGUUUAAUUCGACGCAACGCGAAGAACCUUACCAAGUCUUGACAUCCCUUGACGAACAUAGAAAUAUGUUUUCUCUUCGGAGCAAGGAGACAGGUGGUGCAUGGUUGUCGUCAGCUCGUGUCGUGAGAUGUUGGGUUAAGUCCCGCAACGAGCGCAACCCUUAUGGUCAGUUACUACGCAAGAGGACUCUGGCCAGACUGCCGUUGACAAAACGGAGGAAGGUGGGGAUGACGUCAAAUCAUCAUGCCCUUUAUGACUUGGGCUACACACGUACUACAAUGGCGUUAAACAAAGAGAAGCAAGACCGCGAGGUGGAGCAAGACUCAGAAACAACGUCCCAGUUCGGACUGCAGGCUGCAACUCGCCUGCACGAAGUCGGAAUUGCUAGUAAUCGUGGAUCAGCAUGCCACGGUGAAUACGUUCCCGGGCCUUGUACACACCGCCCGUC